rnacentral:lncRNA from 1 species
UUACAAAUAUGAUGUUAAUUGUCUUCUAAUUGUUGUAAAAAUAAUUCUUAAAAUUUUAAAUCAAAAGUUACCUACAUCUGAAAAAAUAAGUUACGGACAGUCUGCUUAGUUUCGAUCAAAAAGUUACGGACGUCUUAUGCAUUUUUUAAAGUUGGCCUUGCGCUUUAGUGAACUCUAUAUUAACAAAUUUAUGGUAAUUGUUAGUUAUUUCUUUAUUCAAUAAUCCUAUAAAUAUUUACAUUCUGCAUGAAAAACGUCGCAAAAGGUACAUUUUGUAUGAAUUAAAUAUCAACGAGUUUAGAGUCCGCCAUCUUGGGCUGUGGGUAACUUAAGUUACCCACAGCCGUUUAAGCACAGUGUACAUAUG